rnacentral:rRNA from 1 species
GACGAACGCUGGCGGCGUGCUUAACACAUGCAAGUCGAACGGAAAGGCCCUGCUUUUGUGGGGUGCUCGAGUGGCGAACGGGUGAGUAACACGUGAGUAACCUGCCCUUGACUUUGGGAUAACUUCAGGAAACUGGGGCUAAUACCGGAUAGGAGCUCCUGCUGCAUGGUGGGGGUUGGAAAGUUUCGGCGGUUGGGGAUGGACUCGCGGCUUAUCAGCUUGUUGGUGGGGUAGUGGCUUACCACGGCUUUGACGGGUAGCCGGCCUGAGAGGGUGACCGGCCACAUUGGGACUGAGAUACGGCCCAGACUCCUACGGGAGGCAGCAGUGGGGAAUAUUGCACAAUGGGCGGGAGCCUGAUGCAGCAACGCCGCGUGCGGGAUGAAGGCCUUCGGGUUGUAAACCGCUUUCGCCUGUGACGAAGCGUGAGUGACGGUAAUGGGUAAAGAAGCACCGGCUAACUACGUG